rfam:Elusimicrobia bacterium RIFOXYA2_FTLL_53_38 rifoxya2_full_scaffold_3164, whole genome shotgun sequence.
GCUGGGGUAGCUCAGUUGGUAGAGCAUCUGCAUGGUAAGCAGAAGGUCGUGGGUUCAAUUCCCAUCCCCAGCU